CUUGCUCAGUUAUAAGAGGUCCAGCCUGCCCAGUGACUUUGUUCAACGGCCGCGGUAUCCUAACCGUGCGAAGGUAGCGUAAUCACUUGUUCUUUAAAUGAGGACUAGUAUGAAUGGCCCCACGAGGGCUACACUGUCUCCUUUUUCUAAUCAAUGAAACUAAUCUCCCCGUGAAGAAGCGGGGAUGACCUUAUAAGACGAGAAGACCCUAUGGAGCUUUAAACAACUGAAACAUUUGCUUUUCUCUCAGCCCCUCCAGAGCUCUUUAUUUUACUUAAGCAUUUUAUUUCUAGUUUUAGGUUGGGGUGACCACGGAGCAAAACUAAGCCUCCAUGAAGAAAUGAACAUUUUUUAAGCCACAAACUACUUUUUUAAGCAUCAACAAAUUGACCUUCAUUGACCCAAUAUAUUGAUCAACGAAC
rnacentral:rRNA from 1 species